rnacentral:rRNA from 1 species
CUUUAGAUAUGAUCCAGAGUACCACGGGACACGUGAAACCCUGUGGGAAGCAGGAGGGACCACCCUCCAAGGCUAAAUACUACCUAGUGACCGAUAGCGUAUAGUACCGUGAGGGAAAGGUGAAAAGAACCCCGGGAGGGGAGUGAAAUAGAACCUGAAACCCUGCACUUACAAGCUGUGGAAGCACAUUUCUUGUGUGACCGCGUACUUUUUGUAGAACGGGCCAACGAGUUACGUUAAGUAG